CCUACGGGAGGCAGCAGUGAGGAAUAUUGGUCAAUGGGCGCGAGCCUGAACCAGCCAAGUAGCGUGAGGGAUGACUGCCCUACGGGUUGUAAACUUCUUUUAUAAGGGAGUAAAGUGAGGCACGUGUACCUUUUUGUGAGUACUUUAAGAAUAAGGAUCGGCUAACUCCGUGCCAGCAGCCGCGGUAAUACGGAGGAUCCGAGCGUUAUCCGGAUUUAUUGGGUUUAAAGGGAGCGUAGAUGGGUGGUUAAGUCAGUUGUGAAAGUUUGCGGCUCAACCGUAAAAUUGCGAUUGAUACUGGCAGUCUUGAGUACAGUUGAGGUAGGCGGAAUUCGUGGUGUAGCGGUGAAAUGCUUAGAUAUCACGAAGAACUCCGAUUGCGAAGGCAGCAUACUAAACUGCCACUGACAUUGAUGCUCGAAAGUGUGGGUAUCAAACAGGAUUAGAUACCCUUGUAGUC
rnacentral:rRNA from 1 species